AUUCUUCAUAUUCGAAAAUGGCGGAAAGCGGCGAUAUGCAGCUCAUUCAAGUCCUUAAGUACCUCAGGGAAAAACGGUGUUUAUUGUGGUUAAAUUGCUCUUGUUUCACAUGAUGGCACCUAUAAGGCAUGACCAUUGGACAGCAAAACGCUCGUUGGAUCAGCAGGGUCAGACAAAAACAGGUGGAGAAGAAAAAACAUGUUAACUGCAAAAUAAUAAAGAAUUAAGAUAAAGAAUUAAGUGUGAAACCAUCAGGAACCCUUUAGUCUCCAGCGCCACCAUUUUCCAGAACUGCAACCUACCUGGAGUCUCCAGAAGUGCAAGGUGUCAGGAUCUCAGAGACUUAGGUAAAGAAUCCUAAAAAAUGCCUCCCAUUUAAAAAUCACAUACUGAAUUGUAGUAAAAUACAAGCAGACUGUUUUUUUUAUAGGCUUUAUAGACAGACAGAUUGAGAGUGUCUCUUGAAGGACAGCAACAUAUACUCUUGUAUCACUGUUUGAAGAAUUUAUCUUCCAGAAUCUGGCAGUAUUCAUAUCUUUUAUGGAGGACGAAACCUGCAAAAACAAUAAAUAUAUAAAUACCAGAAUAAAUAAAUCCACAAAAUUGUACAUAAAUAAAUAAAUAAAUGUGUAAAUAAAUACACAAUAAUUCCACAUAUUCCUGCAUAAAUAAAUACACAAUGAAUUAAAUGUGCGAGGAAAAUAAAUAAUUUAAUAAAUAAAACGAAUGUUGGGGAAAUAACAAAAAAUGUUCAAGGAAACAAUCGCUAAACUGAAAGUUGACUUUUUUUUUUUCUUUUAACCGUUUAUUCAUUUUUUUAAUGUAUUUAUUAGGGUGAAUUAAGGGUGAUUGGGACAGUUUUUGAAUUAGUCUUAAAUGAAAAACAUCAGCUCAACACAUGAUACAUUUCUGUAAUACUGAAGAUGUUAACUAUCCAUUUGAGGAGGAAACGAUGGUAUAUUAUAAU